GCCAGGUUUCUUGCUGCUUUUCCAAAAAAUCACCAUUUAAGAUAGACUGGAGGCUAUUUUGUAGCUGAAGACUCUGAACAGUAGUAUUUUCACUGUUCCAUCACCCUUAUAAGUUUCUGAGGGAAAAACAGAGAUAAGUAUGUGGACUGACUGAGCUGAAAUCUCUCGUCAAAGAUGCAAUCCUGUUUGACAAGAGAUUAAGCCUGGUUUCUUCACUGUCUGCUGUUCUGUAAAUCUGUGACCAGGGUCAGUCACCCAGACUUUUUGACUCCUUCAGCUGACCUACCAGAAACGGGAUUCUUCUGAUGUUCCCACAAGAGUCUGCAAUAGCUGACAGUGAUAGGAAGUCACAGUGGUAUUAAAAACAUGUUCUGCAUUCAUUCUGCAGAAUGCCUGGAACCUCAUAGGUCUACCUCUUAGAGUGUUGUAAGCCUUCCUUCUCACUGCAAACACUAUUUGAUGAACAGUCUUCAUCACAGCAUCUGUCUCUGUGAUUCUUUGCACGGGUGUCUCUCAACCCCCUGUAAAGGCAAACCCAGAUUAGGUGUCCUUGUGCACUCUCUGAACUUCUAGGCCUGCUUUGUUCCAGUUUUGAAUCAUAGGAAAACCACUCUGGUGUAGUGUGGAUGAAAGCUAUUUCUUUUUCCUCACAGUUCAUUUAAAUUAAAUUAAACUUUGUAACUUUUUUUUCUGAGACGACUUCUAUAUUUUAUUCAUUGCAUUUAAUUCUGUGCAUUCAAGUGGGAAGUUAAACAAUGUCAAAGUGAAGACAAUGAAUCACAUAACGUGCAGAAAAUGUAACUUGGGAAAAUGUAUUAUUGCAGUAACUUCUUACCUAUAUCCUUCCAGUGAAUUAAUGGAACAUCAGAGAAAACUAACCAGGUUGGAAUUUAUUUUUAAAUGUGCAUUCUCAUAAAACGGAUCCUUUAUUUUCCAAAUUUAAUUAGAGUGAAAAAAGAAGCAAGUAUUGGGGUAAUAUUGUACAGCAUCUCUGUGGAGUGGUUGAUUCUCAUAUGUGUUAACAGUUUUCUAUUGCUAUUAUCUUGCUGAAAUUGCUUCCUUAGCUAAACUGUUCAGGGUAGGUAUUAAAGAUGAAUAUAUCAAAACCAGCUCAUGAAUUCUGUUCUUCUAGAAGAGAUCACUGUGUCCGAAUGUAGUGUUCAUUGAUUUGUUUUGGGAAGAAAUAAACUACCUGUUGAAAU
rnacentral:lncRNA from 7 species